GGCGUGGUAGCUCAGCUGGUUAGAGCGUCGGAUUCAUAACCCGGAGGUCGGGAGUUCAAGUCUCCCCCACGCUACCA
rnacentral:tRNA from 1 species